rnacentral:rRNA from 1 species
UACGUAGGGGGCAAGCGUUGUCCGGAUUUAUUGGGCGUAAAGAGCGUGUAGGCGGCCAUACAGGUCAGCUGUGAAAACUCGAGGCUCAACCUCGAGACGUCGGUUGAAACCGUAUGGCUAGAGUCCGGAAGAGGAGAGUGGAAUUCCCGGUGUAGCGGUGAAAUGCGUAGAUAUCGGAAGGAACACCUGUGGCGAAAGCGGCUCACUGGACCAUUACUGACACUGAGGCACGAAAGCUAGGGGAGCAAACAGG